GCGGGCUUAGUUCAAUGGUAGAACGGCAGUUUUCCAAACUGCAUACGAGGGUUCGAUUCCCUUCGCCCGCUCCA
rnacentral:tRNA from 1 species